UACAGAGGUCUCAAGCGUUGUUCGGAUUCAUUGGGCGUAAAGGGUGCGUAGGUGGUCGGGUAAGUCUGAUGUGAAAUCUCGGAGCUCAACUCCGAAACUGCAUUGGAUACUAUUCGGCUUGAGAGUUGGAGGGGGGACUGGAAUUCUCGGUGUAGCAGUGAAAUGCGUAGAUAUCGAGAGGAACACCAGUGGCGAAGGCGAGUCCCUGGACAACUUCUGACACUGAGGCACGAAAGCUAGGGGAGCAAACAGG
rnacentral:rRNA from 1 species